AUUGAACGCUGUCGGCAGGCCUAACACAUGCAAGUCGAACGAGUGGCGGACGGGUGAGUAAUGUCUGGGAAACUGCCUGAUGGAGGGGGCUAACUACUGUCAACGGUAGCUCAUACCGCAUACCAUCAGAUGUGCCCAGAUGGGAUUAGCUUGUUGGUGGGGUAACGGCUCACCAAGGCGACGAUCCCUAGCUGGUCUUAGAGGAUGACCAGCCACACUGGAACGGAGACACGUGCCAGACGCCGACGGGAGGAAGCAGUGGGGAAUAUUGCACACUGGGCGAAAGCCUGAUGCAGCCAUGCCGCGUGUAUGAAGAAGGCCGUCGGGUUGUAAAGUACUUUCAGCGGGGAGGCGUUACCCGCAGAAGAAGCACCGGCUAACUCCGUGCCAGCAGCCGCGGUAAUUC
rnacentral:rRNA from 1 species